GAAGAGAGAGAUUGUGGAUGACGAUUGCUGUUUGAUGGGACGGCGGCGAUCGGCUCCGCCGAUGAAGAAGGUGGACAAUAGAAGGCGGAGAUUCAACUGGAAAACUGUCCCAAUGCGUCAAACUGGCGGCCACGACAAUGAUCGGACUCCGCCUUUUCUCGGUUCCAACCGCCGUCUCACGAUCAGAACAAUGAUCCAUUCCAAGAAAGCCAAUUGCAGCGCCGUCAAUUUCCGAUCACAACAUCUCGUAGAGGCCUCGCUAUGAUUUCAUUUCUCGCUGCGAUGCCGUCUCUGUUUCUACCUGCUCCUGCCGCUGCUUUGAAUCUCGGCAUUUGUAAGCACGCUACGCAACAUUGUGUCGUUGAUUGCAGGAACGAAGGAUUGCUUGAAGGAGCAAUAGAAGAAGGCCUCCACGUUCCUCUUGGCGCCAAUUGAUGCCUCCAGAGAUAGCCUUCGCGCCGUUCUACUUUUGGUUUCUAAUGCGUUCGAUUACUCGAACAAGGACAUGGAGAAUGUUCGAAGAAUGCUCAUGUCUGUUGCAAGGCAUUGCGUUUUGAACGACAGGAAUUCCUUUGUUCAAUUUCAAGCUAGUUGCAGCCAAUGCGUUUGAUUACUCGAACAAGGAUAUGGAGAAUGUUCGAAGAAUGCUCAUGUCUGUUGCAAGGCAUUGCGUUUUGAAGGACAGGAAUUCCUUUGUUCAAUUUCAAGCAAGCACAGGAGUCGAGAUUGUCUUUAUUCGAUCGGUGGUAGCAGAGGCAAACCAGAAGCCUGCACCAAAUACAAGCGGCAGCAAGGUUUUCCAUCAUCAG